GAGCGAGAAAAGGGGGGCAACUCCCUGAGUACAGCGGCGCACGGGUGAGUAACACGUGGGUAAUCUGCCCUGAAGUGGGGAAUAACACCGGGAAACCGGUGCUAAUACCGCAUACGAUCACGAUGUCUGCGGAUGUUGUGAUGAAAGGAGCAAUUCGCUUCAGGAGGAGCCCGCGGCUGAUUAGCUAGUUGGUGAGGUAACGGCUCACCAAGGCAACGAUCAGUAUCCGGUCUGAGAGGACGGUCGGACACACUGGAACUGAGACACGGUCCAGACUCCUACGGGAGGCAGCAGUGGGGAAUUUUUCGCAAUGGGGGCAACCCUGACGAAGCAACGCCGCGUGGGUGAUGAAGUCUCUUGGGACGUAAAACCCUUUCGACGGGGAAGAAACCGCAAGGUUGACGGUACCCGUAGAAGAAGCCCCGGCUAACUCCGUG
rnacentral:rRNA from 1 species